GAGUAACUGCACGUCGACGUUUCAGAGAUGGAUUGGUGCCUUCGGGAACUGUGAGACAGGUGCUGCAUGGCUGUCGUCAGCUCGUGUUGUGAAAUGUUGGGUUAAGUCCCGCAACGAGCGCAACCCUUAUCCUUUGUUGCCAGCGGUCCGGCCGGGAACUCAAAGGAGACUGCCAGUGAUAAACUGGAGGAAGGUGGGGAUGACGUCAAGUCAUCAUGGCCCUUACGACCAGGGCUACACACGUGCUACAAUGGCAUAUACAAAGAGAAGCGACCUCGCGAGAGCAAGCGGACCUCAUAAAGUGCGUCGUAGUCCGGAUUGGAGUCUGCAACUCGACUCCAUGAAGUCGGAAUCGCUAGUAAUCGUGGAUCAGAAUGCCACGGUGAAUACGUUCCCGGGUCUUGUACACACCGA
rnacentral:rRNA from 1 species